rnacentral:rRNA from 1 species
GACGAACCGUGCGAACGUUGUUCGGAAUCACUGGGCUUAAAGGGCGCGUAGGCGGACUGCCAAGUCCGGGGUGAAAUCUUUCGGCUCAACCGGAAAUAGCCUCGGAGACUGGCGGUCUGGAGGGGGUAGGGGCAGCUGGAACUUCCGGUGGAGCGGUGAAAUUCGUAGAUAUUCGGAAGAACACCAGUGGCGAAGGCGACUUACUGGACACAUAUUGACGCUGAGGUGCGAAAGCGUGGGGAGCAAACAGG